rnacentral:rRNA from 1 species
AAUACGUAGGGUGCGAGCGUUGUCCGGAAUUAUUGGGCGUAAAGAGCUCGUAGGCGGCCUGUUGCGUCCGCUGUGAAAGCCCGGGGCUUAACCCCGGGUCUGCAGUGGAUACGGGCAGGCUAGAGUUCGGCAGGGGAGACUGGAAUUCCUGGUGUAGCGGUGAAAUGCGCAGAUAUCAGGAGGAACACCGGUGGCGAAGGCGGGUCUCUGGGCCGAUACUGACGCUGAGGAGCGAAAGCGUGGGGAGCGAACAGGA